GGGAGGUAGGUCUGAGGGCUCCACUCAGAGAAGACUGUCUGAGGUAUCAGAUUAUUCUCUCUCAGAUAGAAAACUGCAUAUGAAGGAGUGGAAGAAGAAACCAACCAGGGCCUGGUGUAGCUUCCUUACUUCUCCGGAAACACAAGAAAUAAGGAGGAGUGGCCAAGCCAGAGUGAUACUUCGGUCUUCGCUCCUUGGAUGAAGGUGGGGAAGGACGUCUGAGUCACCAAGUCCUCUCCUCCAGGCGCACAGGCCUGCUGGCUCCCAUUUGGCUUCCAAGUGCUCACAUAUCCAGAGCUGCCCAUCACUUACCUCCAGAAUCCCUCCCAUCCCUUCCCAUCCUUUUUGGAACAGACUGGCCUCCUCUUGCCUCAUCUCCAUGUUCCAGUGCUUUGGGGGUCUUCUCUGCUCCACUUCACUAGGAAUAAGUGAGGCCUCAUCUGGUGAGCUGGGCCUUGCUGAUAUAUUGCCUUCUUGUGUGUUCCCCCAUCUCAGGCAACAUGCCUGGGCCCACCAUGGCGCUUUUCCUUAGGAGGGCCUUCCAAUGCCUUUGGGAGGCCCAGCCGCCCGAGUUACAUUGGUGUUAACUGCAGAAAUGAAAUGAACAGUGAUGAA